rnacentral:ncRNA from 2 species
GAAUAUGUUCCGGGGAGCUGCUAAAGCCGGCUGAGAGGGAAUUAUCUGUACAAUUCCGACCCGUUAAAACCUGAUCUGGAUAAUGCCAGUGUAGGGACAGAAGCUUUGUUUGCU